rnacentral:rRNA from 1 species
GUGGGGAAUCUUGCGCAAUGGGCGAAAGCCUGACGCAGCCAUGCCGCGUGAAUGAUGAAGGUCUUAGGAUUGUAAAAUUCUUUCACCGGGGACGAUAAUGACGGUACCCGGAGAAGAAGCUCCGGCUAACUUCGUGCCAGCAGCCGCGGUAAUACGAAGGGGGCUAGCGUUGCUCGGAAUUACUGGGCGUAAAGGGCGCGUAGGCGGACAGCUUAGUCAGAGGUGAAAGCCCAGGGCUCAACCGUGGAAUUGCCUUUGAUACUGGCUGUCUUGAGUUUGGGAGAGGUGAGUGGAACUCCGAGUGUAGAGGUGAAAUUCGUAGAUAUUCGGAAGAACACCAGUGGCGAAGGCGACUCACUGGCCCAAUACUGACGCUGAGGCGCGAAAGCGUGGGGAGCAAACAGGAUUAGAAACCCUAGUAGUCC